ensembl:snRNA U6 U6 spliceosomal RNA
GCGCUUGCAUCAGCAGCGCAUAUACUAAAAUGGGAACAAUACAGGGGAGAUUAGCAUGGCCCCUGCGCAAGGAUAAAUUCACGUAUUAAAAGAAAAUGAUCCUGGGAUC